rnacentral:rRNA from 1 species
GAUGAACGCUAGCGGCAGGCCUAAUACAUGCAAGUCGAGGGGCAGCAGGAAUAGCAAUAUUCGCUGGCGACCGGCGCACGGGUGCGUAACACGUAUACAAUCUGCCUUUAACAGGGGGAUAGCCCGGAGAAAUCCGGAUUAAUACCCCAUAACAGUGAUCUUGGCAUCAAGGACACUUAAAAGUUCCGGCGGUUAAAGAUGAGUAUGCGUCUGAUUAGCUAGUUGGUGAGGUAACGGCUCACCAAGGCGACGAUCAGUAGGGGAUCUGAGAGGAUUGACCCCCACACGGAUACUGAGACACGGAUCCGACUCCUACGGGAGGCAGCAGUAAGGAAUAUUGGACAAUGCCCGCAAGGGUGAUCCAGCCAUGCCGCGUGCAGGAAGACGGCCCUAUGGGUUGUAAACUGCUUUUACACCGGAGAAAACCCCACUACGUGUAGUGGGCUGAUAGUAUGGUGAGAAUAAGCAUCGGCUAACUUCGUGCCAGCAGCCGCGGUAA